UACGGGGGGGGCAAGCGUUGUUCGGAAUUACUGGGCGUAAAGGGCUCGUAGGCGGCCAACUAAGUCAGACGUGAAAUCUCUCGGCUUAACCGGGGAACUGCGUCUGAUACUGGAUGGCUGGAGUUUGGGAGAGGGAUGCGGAAUUCCAGGUGUAGCGGUGAAAUGCGUAGAUAUCUGGAGGAACACCGGUGGCGAAGGCGGCAUCCUGGACCAAUACUGACGCUGAGGAACGAAAGCCAGGGGAGCAAACGGG
rnacentral:rRNA from 1 species